GAAAUGCGAUAAGUGGUGUGAAUUGCAGAAUUCAGUGAAUCAUCGAAUCUUUGAACGCACAUUGCGCCCUUUGGUAUUCCAAAGGGCAUGCCUGUUCGAGCGUCAUUUGUACCCUCAAGCUUUGCUUGGUGUUGGGCGUCUUGUCUCUAGCUUUGCUGGAGACUCGCCUUAAAGUAAUUGGCAGCCGGCCUACUGGUUUCGGAGCGCAGCACAAGUCGCACUCUCUAUCAGCAAAGGUCUAGCAUCCAUUAAGCCUUUUUUCAACUUUUGACCUCGGAUCAGGUAGGGAUACCCGCUGAACUUAAGC
rnacentral:misc_RNA from 1 species